GAUGAACGCUAGCGGUGUGCCUAAUGCAUGCAAGUCGAACGGGAUCCUUUGGAUUCGUCUGAAGGUGAGAGUGGCGAACGGGUGAGUAACACGUAGGUGACCUGCCCCGGAGAGGGGGACAACCACUGGAAACGGUGGCUAAUACCCCAGAUGUUAUUGCGCUUAGAAAGCAAUUACUAAAGUUCCGGCGCUCCGGGAGGGGCCUGCGGCCCAUCAGCUUGUUGGUAAGGUAAUGGCUUACCAAGGCUAAGACGGGUAGGGGGCGUGAGAGCGUGACCCCCCACACUGGUACUGAGACACGGACCAGAUACCUGCGGGUAGCAGCAGCAAGGAAUAUUGCCCAAUGGACGAAAGUCUGAGGCAGCAACACCGCGUGGAGGAUGAAGGCCUUCGGUU
rnacentral:rRNA from 1 species